rnacentral:rRNA from 1 species
UACGUAGGGUGCAAGCAUUAAUCGGAAUUAUUAGGGCGUAAAGGGCGCGUAGGCGGCCACGCAACCGUCCGUUGGUGAAAUCGCCCGGCUCAACUGGGCGGGGUCAGCGGAUACGGUGUGGCUCGAGGCAAAGCUAGGGGGCAAUGGAAUUCCCGGUGUAGUGGUGGAAUGGACGUAGAUAGUCGGGAGGAACACCAGUGGCGAAGGCGGCUA